CAGUAGCCAACAGGACUCGGGUUCUCCCAUCUUAUAGCUGUACCAUGUGCAAUAUGUAACCUGCAAGCUUGCUGUGACAGGGCCAUUAGCCAGAAGUAAUCACAGGACCCCAACCUACCUGAAGGGAGGCUGGGAAAUGCAGAGCAGCAAUGGAAUAUUUGCCCAGAGGACAAUCCAUUCUCCUUCCUUUGGAGGACACAGUAAAGGCUAACUCCUGGAAGUACCAGGUUUAUUGGCAUGUAACCUCAUCAUAAGUCCAGGAAGAUCUGUAUCUCCCUACAUUUGCUGAGGAAGCUGGUCCUGAUAUUUUUCUGAAAAAUAAUAAAAGGGUAGAAUGCCGAGAGGAAAAGGCCAGGAGGAAAACUGCCUAGAGACCUGGGUACAUGGAACUGUCCUUAGUCUUCAUGUAUGUAUACUUCCAUUUUUGAACACCUUUAUUUUUGAAUACCUUCCAGUCUAUGAAAAGAAAGGGGAAGAAAAAAACAAAAAAGAAAAGAAAAGGAAGAAGAAUAAAAGGAACUGUACUACAGCUGUACUGGAUAAUCGAAAGGUUGUCCUGUACACAGCUUACUAGGUAGAAAGAAGAAGUGUUUUCUAUGAAGAAGAAACAGUAUGUACAAAGGCUGAAUGGUCAGGGUU